rnacentral:rRNA from 1 species
GACGAACGCUGGCGGCGUGCUUAACACAUGCGAGUCGAACGGAAAGGCCCUGCUUUUGUGGGGUGCUCGAGUGGCGAACGGGUGAGUAACACGUGAGUAACCUGCCCUUGACUUUGGGAUAACUUCAGGAAACUGGGGCUAAUACCGGAUAGGAGCUCCUGCUGCAUGGUGGGGGUUGGAAAGUUUCGGCGGUUGGGGAUGGACUCGCGGCUUAUCGGCUUGUUGGUGGGGUAGUGGCUUACCAAGGCUUUGACGGGUAGCCGGCCUGAGAGGGUGACCGGCCACAUUGGGACUGAGGUACGGCCCAGACUCCUACGGGAGGCAGCAGUGGGGAAUAUUGCACAAUGGGCGGAAGCCUGAUGCAGCAACGCCGCGUGCGGGAUGACGGCCUUCGGGUUGUAAACCGCUUUCGCCUGUGACGAAGCGUGAGUGACGGUAAUGGGUAAAGAAGCACCGGCUAACUACGUG